UACGAAGGGGGCUAGCGUUGUUCGGAUUUACUGGGCGUAAAGCGCGCGCAGGCGGCCCUUUAAGUCCAUCGGUCAAAUGCCGGAGCUCAACUCCGUGCGUGCCGAGGAUACUGGAGGGCUGGAGACACGUAGAGGCAAGCGGAAUUCCGGGUGUAGCGGUGGAAUGCGUAGAGAUCCGGAAGAACACCGGAGGCGAAGGCGGCUUGCUGGGCGUGAUCUGACGCUGAGGCGCGAAAGCGUGGGGAGCGAGCAGG
rnacentral:rRNA from 1 species